GACCAAACAAGGUAAUGGGUGUGGCUUAACAAAUCCGCCAUCUUUUCUACUCGGGUGCACCUUAACAAAUCCGCCAUCUUUUCUACUCGGAGAGACUUUUGUAGUCCAAACAACUCUAGGAUGCCGAAGUGGAGAGUAUAGAGAAGGAUUCGUCUGAAGACUUCAUUGAGGGUUCAAUUCCUUCACCUACUCCAUGGAAACGACGGACACAGUAAAACGCACACGUGGAUGCGCCGUUGUUUUACUGUCGCUACGAUUAAUGUGAAAAUUUGCGAAAAUCGAGUCCACGCUUAAAAAGCGCAAACACAUUGGAAAGCCACGCGGCAACUGGAAGGAGUUUACACGACCCUGCUUCGUGUUCAUUCACUUGAAAUACAUGAAGGUAGGAGAGAAACAAGUCAUAAACACCAUCGUGGCUUGUCGCUUAUUUGCCAUAAUAUGAGUGAAAAAUCAGCCGAUAAUUCCAUUUUGUUUGAUUUGAAUAAUCUGAAAUUUGUCAAAGGUACAACUGCCUGGUUUUCCUGCAUCCCUCUUUCCGAUGUUGUUCCCCAAGGUUCGGUUCUUGGACCUCUGGACAAUGUAGACCUUUGCCUUUUUUUAACCCUUGUGUCUGGGGGACUUUUACGAAUUCACAAAAAUGUUGUCAUUUUCAGCGUCAACGGUACAUUAGCAUUUGUGACACAGUCACUUUCACGUUUGUCUGCCAUCUCUCCGUAAUGAGCGUUGCCCUUCGGUCUAAUGAAGCUGCUAAUGAAUGUCAUCAGGUCAUGCUUGCUUGUGACCUGCCAAGUACUUAUUUACUGUCAAGCACCUGCAAAACGUGUCUCCAAUGCAUAAGUGGGACAAUAAUCAGGAUGUUUUAUACAACAUGUUGUGUUUAUGGUUCGGGAUUGAAACGGUUCCGAUUCUAAUGAAUUGCCUCGACCAUUUAAAAUA